rnacentral:rRNA from 1 species
AGUGAACGCUGGCGGUAGGCCUAGCACAUGCAAGUCGAACGGCAGCACAGUAAGAGCUUGCUCUUACGGGUGGCGAGUGGCGGACGGGUGAGGAAUACAUCGGAAUCUACUUUUUCGUGGGGGAUAACGUAGGGAAACUUACGCUAAUACCGCAUACGACCUACGGGUGAAAGCAGGGGAUCUUCGGACCUUGCGCGAUUGAAUGAGCCGAUGUCGGAUUAGCUAGUUGGCGGGGUAAAGGCCCACCAAGGCGACGAUCCGUAGCUGGUCUGAGAGGAUGAUCAGCCACACUGGAGCUGAGACACGGUCCAGACUCCUACGGGAGGCAGCAGUGGGGAAUAUUGGACAAUGGGCGCAAGCCUGAUCCAGCCAUACCGCGUGGGUGAAGAAGGCCUUCGGGUUGUAAAGCCCUUUUGUUGGGAAAGAAAAGCAGCAGGUUAAUACCCCGCUGUUCUGACGGUACCCAAAGAAUAAGCACCGGCUAACUUCGUG